AUUGAACGCUGGCGGCAGGCCUAACACAUGCAAGUCGAGCGGAUGAAGGGAGCUUGCUCCUGGAUUCAGCGGCGGACGGGUGAGUAAUGCCUAGGAAUCUGCCUGGUAGUGGGGGAUAACGUCCGGAAACGGGCGCUAAUACCGCAUACGUCCUGAGGGAGAAAGUGGGGGAUCUUCGGACCUCACGCUAUCAGAUGAGCCUAGGUCGGAUUAGCUAGUUGGUGGGGUAAAGACCUACCAAGGCGACGAUCCGUAACUGGUCUGAGAGGAUGAUCAGUCACACUGGAACUGAGACACGGUCCAGGCUCCUACGGGAGGCAGCAGUGGGGAAUAUUGGACAAUGGGCGAAAGCCUGAUCCAGCCAUGCCGCGUGUGUGAAGAAGGUCUUCGGAUUGUAAAGCACUUUAAGUUGGGAGGAAGGGCAGUAAGUUAAUACCUUGCUGUUUUGACGUUACCAACAGAAUAAGCACCGGCUAACUUCGUG
rnacentral:rRNA from 1 species